AAUUAGGAUGAACCCAGGCACUUAGCCAUGCAGGAACAAUGGCAAGUGGCAAUGGGUGCCUCACUGGAUCAGGAGCACAGCAGACACCCUGCCAGAUCCGCAGGGGUGGAAGUCAGCGGCGGGUCUGCGAUGGUGGCAAGCAGCAGUGGUGGACAGCGAGCGAAAGCUCAGCUCGAGCCAUAACAAACACGGACCAGAAGAGUGCAGUUGCAAGAUUUAAUAGAGUGAAAUAGAGCUCCCAUACAAAGGGAGGGAACCCAAAGAGGGUAGCCGUUGCCGGCUCCAAUGCCUGGGUUUAUAUCCCUAUCCUUGUCCCUCCCGCUGUCCUCUCAGGCAACAGAUGAUUGGCUAUUUGUUUACCUCCUGUUUUUUGCCUAAUUAGCAUUUUAGUGAGCUCUCCUUACUAUCUGAUUGGUCGGGUGUGAGCAAAGUUGCAAGCCCCGUGUUUAAAGGUGGAAGCAGUCACCUUCCCAGCUAGGCUUAGGGAUUCUUAGUCGGCCUAGGAAAUCCAGCUAGUCCUGUCUCUCAGUAGGAAGGCAUAAUAGGAAUUAUGAGGGUAAAUCUAAAAUUUGAGAUAGGCAGAUACCAUGCAAGAUUGGGACAAAGAUACUAGACUCUCACCAGGAAACCAAAUAAGGCUUUGUUUACAUUAUAGGAAGCUGUCUACAUCAUACUCUGUAAUCUGUGCUCUCUUGUGAAGUAAAAAUUUUCUUGAAUUUUAAAAAGAUAUCUACUUGAGCCCAGUGGGAGGUAAUAUGUGUUUAUUUUCCAAAGAGUGACAUCUUUUUCCUCUGGUUGUUUCUCCCUCUCUUUCCUUAUAGGAUAUGAGAUUAGCAAAUUAUAGUAACAUAUGACAAUACACUUUUAUUGCUUACCCAUGUGUCAAGUACUGAGUUAGGGAUCCAAAGAUCAAUAAGAUAUGGUCCUUACUUUAAUGGGCCUUCCAGAUUCUCUGGGGAGAGAUUCCAUACCUAUGUAAGGAAUUAUUUAAAGCAAGAUGGUUUGAGUCUGGUUCUGAAGUUAGCAGGCAUCCAGAGAAGGCAGAAGCCACCCAUCACUGACAAGAGAGCAAAAGCUAAUAAUGUAAUCCUGGGUCUCAAUAAGGAAGAUUUGGAUCUUGGGAGAAACAGCUAUGGAUACAGUCAUGCAGAUAAGAAUUGCAUGUGGUGACUCUAUAUCUUCACCUUAAUUCAGUGACUAACUUCUUAGUCACUAGAAAUUAACUUAUUUUAGUGGGACAAACUAAAGUAGAAGAAUGAGCAUGCCUGAAGCUUCUUUGUAUGUAGACCUUUCCUUAAAUCUUCUGGGCUCUUUUAUGUAUGUUGUUUUAUAGUGCUUUUCAAGGUCUUCUAUGGUCCUGACUUUCUAGAUUUUUCCCACUUUAUUUUGGCAAUACUUCUCAGCACAGUUUUGCUGACCAAAGCCACACAACCCCACUUUCACACACUGUUCCCACUCACCUCCAGCUUGGGCCAACUUCAGUAUUACUUCUGUUCUCGUGGCCACAGCACAGCCUUUCAGUCAUGCAGCCAUCGGAUUCCCUGAAUGGCAUAUUACGUUGACUACAUAAAUAGUGUCUUAGUCCAUUCAGGCUGCCAGAACAAAAUACCAUAAACUGGGUAGCUUAGAAACAACAGAAAUUUAUUUUUCACAGAUCUGGAGGCUGGAAAGUCCAAGUUCAAGGAGCCAGCAGAUUUGGGGUCUGGUGAGGGCCUGCUUCCUGGUUCAUAAAAACAGUUCCUUCUUUACUGUGUCUUCAUAUGGUGGACAAGCUCCCUUGGACCUGUUUUAUAAGGACUUUAAUCCCAUUCAUGAAGUCACUGCCCUCUUAACCUAAUUAUCCCCAAAGAGCCCUACUUCCUAAUACCAUCACCUUGCAGGUUAGGAUUUCAGCAUACAAAUUUUGGGGAGACACAAACAUUUAGACCGUAGUAAAUAGCAUUUGUCACAAAUGCAGAAGUUGCAAACCUUUCAUCAAUGUUAGAUUGACUUCAGAAUGCAAGAUAAUCCUUAUGUUCUGAACCAAUUAUUAGUCAAAUAAUUGCUGAGAUCAUUGAUACAAUGAAAUCACUAUUAGCUUCUAUGGUCUCUGACUCAGUCCCAAAUGUCUUCUAUAAAAGAAGUCUCUAAAAAAUAGAAUUUGGAAAGCCUGCACAUACUAGCCUCUUCUUGGAGAUUCCUAAUACCCAUUAAACUCUCUGAGAAAUGCUGAAAUUAAAAAACUUGUUUAAACUUUUCUUAAACUUAUUUCAGUAUAGAACUCUUUGUUAAUUUUUUGCUUAUUCCAUGUUAACAUUCAGAGAAGGAUGCCAUUGGAAAUAUUGCCCUGACCUGUGGAAUCUCAUAAGCACUAGACAAGAGCAUAAUCAUAGGCCUUGGUAAAAUACCAUGCAACAAAUUUCCCAGGCAUCUCUUCAUUGACCAAAUAAAAAAGUCUCUCCAACUUUACCACUUUCUUCUAUUGACUUUGGCAAGGAGGUCCUUAAGGCCAGGGUUGUUCCCUGAGUAACUGAGGGUCUAGCACAAGUGCCAGCUCAGAGCUACUAUAUAUGUGAGACUCAUGAGAGAAUGUGACCAACUUACUAAUUAACAGCCAUCAGCUCAUGAAUGGCUAUGAACUCCAUCAAACUGAACAAGAUUCAAAUUUUGCUAAGUCAAAUAGCACAAGCCAGUAGAAUUAAUGAAUUUAGAUAGAAACUUAGCAAUGCUUUUUGACAGCAGGUAACUUGGUGAGUCUGGAAGCCAGGUGAGACUGCUAACCUGUCUGAAGGUGAGUGUGUCAUUUGAGAAAGAAAGAAGGAAAAGGAACAUUAAAUGACUUAGGUUCCUGUUCUACUGGUCUCAUCUUAGUCAUUAUCUCAUUUACUUUAUACAGCCACCUGGGAGGUAAGUGUUAUUUUUACCAUUAGGUAGAAGAGGAAAAGGAGGUUAAGUAAGCUGCCCAAGACCUCCAGUUAGUAUGCAGUGGAGCUAAGACCUGAACCUAAACCCAUAUGGUUUCCAUCCCAUGCUCUCUUCUUAUUAAACCUAUGCUAACUCUCACCAAACUUUUAAGCAUAAGUGCAAACCAUAAUCUUCUGAGUCCAUGUCAUACAUCCUUAUAUUUUACUCUUUUCUCUAAAUCUCCUCUCCUGGCUUUCCUGCAGUCACUGUGCUUUGCAGGCCAGCUGCCUCUAGGACUCUUAGAAUACAAUGGUGCUUUUGUACAACCUUGAUUUUGAGCAUGUGGUUCCUCCUUUGACUCAGCUGAAAAAUUUCUAAAGCAGUUAACUAUAUGUUACUGGAUUAUACUUAGAUUUCUACUACAACAUUAUUUUGUCAAAACUCGUACUCUCACGUGUGAGAAGCAUUGUGUCAAACAAAAUGGAGUACAUUUUUUCAAUAACAACUUCUUAGAGCAAACCUGUACUGAGAAGAAAGUAUAGUUGCCAAAUGUAUGUGGUGAUCAGAAAUCUGGAAGAACCCUUAUUAAUGUCUUGUAUUACUUGAAAAUGCUGAUAAAAUAUGUUAGCCUGCUUAUAAUCAUUUUUAUUUUUGGAGAGUUGUUUUUUACAAUAGCAGUAACUUGAACCAUAAAAUACUUUGUUUCAAUAACAUGGUAUGAAUAAUGCCCAAAGUUUAAGAGUUAGUAUUCAUCAAGUGAUGGUGAAUAAAUCUAUGACCGAGGUAGAAUUCUGGGCUCAAUAAAAUCUACCUCUGCUAUUAUGUAUUUCAAAAUGAGAAAACACUCAACUAGAUUUGGUGAAAACUAAACUCCUGUUUAGUUUAAUAGUUAAGAGAGUCUCCAUUGAUGAGGUGCAUUCUGGAUUAUCCAUUUGUUUUUAUAUCUUUUAUUUUCCUAUUCUCACUUCCCAUGACACGAUAUACAUUACAAUUGUUUUUAGAAAAAUAAAGUUUACCAUCUCAUGAUUCAUUU
rnacentral:lncRNA from 10 species